GCCCAGAUAGCUCAGUCGGUAGAGCAGAGGACUGAAAAUCCU
rnacentral:tRNA from 1 species